UAUCUCUGUAGAGUCUGCAUAUCAAUAAGCGGAGGAAAAGAAACUAACAAGGAUUCCCUUAGUAACGGCGAGUGAAGCGGGAAGAGCUCAAAUUUGAAAUCUUCAAGGUUCUACCUUGACGAAUUGUAGUUUAAAGAAGUGCUUUCUGUUGGUGUUUUGGUAAAAGUUCUUUGGAAUAGGACAUCAUAGAGGGUGAGAAUCCCGUAUUUGACCAUUACUUCCAGCGUUGUGAUACACUUUCAAAGAGUCGGGUUGUUUGGGAAUGCAGUCCAAGAUGGGUGGUAAAUUUCAUCUAAAGCUAAAUAUUGGCGAGAGACCGAUAGCGAACAAGUACCGUGAGGGAAAGAUGAAAAGAACUUUGAAAAGAGAGUUAAACAGUACGUGAAAUUGUCAAAAGGGAAGCGUUAGGCACCAGUGUUGUUUUUCCAAAAAUCAAUUACGAAUGGCUUGAUUCUGUGUUGUAUUGACCUUAUCAGCUUUCUUCACUUUUUUCGAGUCUUUCUUAAUGCACUUUUCGGUUAACAAGUCAACAUCAAUUUCUUUUGUUGUAAAAGAGUAUUCGGAAGGUGGCUUUCUUUUCGGAGAAAGUGUUUAUAGCCUUUGGCCUCUGCAAUCGGAGAGAUUGAGGUCUGCAGCGUAGAUCCUUCGGGGUUAGAUACAUUUGUGCUAAGUUAUAGCCUUUCAUAGACAACUUGUUGACUAUGAUCAGUCAUGUAGCUUACUCGCUUAUGCUAUUUUACCUACGCUUAGGAUGUUGAAGAUGUAGCACAUCAU
rnacentral:rRNA from 1 species